rnacentral:rRNA from 1 species
CUACGGGUUGCUGCAGUGGGGAAUAUUGCACAAUGGGGGAAACCCUGAUGCAGCAACGCCGCGUGGAGGAUGACGCAUUUCGGUGUGUAAACUCCUUUUAUAUAGGAAGAUAAUGACGGUACUAUAUGAAUAAGCACCGGCUAACUCCGUGCCAGCAGCCGCGGUGAAUACGGAGGGUGCAAGCGUUACUCGGAAUCACUGGGCGUAAAGCGCGCGCAGGCGGCCUUUUAAGUUGGAUGUGAAAGCCUAUGGCUUAACCAUAGAACUGCAUCCAAAACUAUCAGGCUAGAGUCUGGGAGGGGAAGAUGGAAUUAGUUGUGUAGGGGUAAAAUCCGUAGAGAUAACUAGGAAUACCAAAAGCGAAGGCGAUCUUCUGGAACAGUACUGACGCUGAGGCGCGAAAGCGUGGGGAGCAAACAGGAUUAGAUACCCUCGUAGUC